GAUGAACGCUGGCGGCGUGCCUAAUACAUGCAAGUCGAGCGAACAGACGAGGAGCUUGCUCCUCUGACGUUAGCGGCGGACGGGUGAGUAACACGUGGAUAACCUACCUAUAAGACUGGGAUAACUUCGGGAAACCGGAGCUAAUACCGGAUAAUAUAUUGAACCGCAUGGUUCAAUAGUGAAAGACGGUUUUGCUGUCACUUAUAGAUGGAUCCGCGCCGCAUUAGCUAGUUGGUAAGGUAACGGCUUACCAAGGCAACGAUGCGUAGCCGACCUGAGAGAGUGAUCGGCCACACGGGAGCUGAGACACGGUCCAUGCUCCUACGGGAGGCAGCAGUAGGGAAUCUGCCGCAAUGGGCGAAAGCCUGGCGGAGCAACGCCGCGUGAGUGAUGAAGGUCUUCGGAUCGUAAAACUCUGUUAUUAGGGAAGAACAAAUGUGUAUGUAACUAUGCACGUCUUGACGGUACCUAAUCAGAAAGCCACGGCUAACUACGUG
rnacentral:rRNA from 1 species